GUUAGUCCUCUGACAGACUGGUGACCUGUCCAGGUGUGCUCUACCUAUGACUACUGGGACAGGCUCUAGCUCCUGUAAUAGAAAUUUUAUGUUAUUCUCAUUUAAAGCAUUUAAGUGCUUAUGCAUAUGCUUAGUUGUGACACUGUUAUAGACUGUUCAAUGAAAGUUUCUAAAACUAGAUGAACUUACUUCAGCAGUUUGAGAAAACAACUCCCUUUACAGGUGCUGAUAACGUCAAGGGCACAAAACAGCAUAACCAUUGAUCCGUUAGGUUUCAUAGCGAGACACGUGAAGUGGCAGAGCUGACAUGACUGAACUGUGAUGUUUGAUGUGUGUUUGCUCUCCUGUGCACAGUAAUAAAUAGCAUGAUCACAGCUCUUUCUGUGUUGCAGACUUUAUUAAAAAAAUUCCAUGACAUCUACUAUAACUGAACCAACCUGGUGCUCUUCAUUUAUGGAGGCUGUUGAGUCUGAAUGUUGGAUGUUGUGUAUCUCGUGUUCUCUGGGCUUUGUUGUCCUCAGUCUUUUUGCAGGAUCAGAAAACAAAACCGGGAGGCGCGUAAAUGUUUCUUCUCCAUGAUGUUUCUUCAAAUGUUUCUUCUGGAUGAUGAUAUGACCGUGACACGGGAUGCCACCUUUGGUCUUGUGACGAAGCAAAGCUCAGGAAGAAGUGUGAUUAAAUGAGCAGAGCAGCAGUUUGUGCUCACAGAUGGUGACGGUGUGGAGAGACGGUGGUAUUUCCUCAGAAGAACCAGCAGAGUCACAAAGGACACCAGUCCAUCUCACCACCUUGACUUGCUGACUGAUGUUCGUCUGCACUGCACAGAGGAAAUCAACUGACCGAGGAGCGUUUCUGAGUGA